GACGCAACCCGGGGGCUGGGAAAGGCCCGAGAGGUGUGUGAAAAGCGGGGGAGCCCCGCCCUUUCGCCCCCCAAACGGCGGGAUUUGGGAACCCGGGGCUGGGCCCCGUUUAGGGGGCCCUCAAUCUUGCCUCCCGGUUAUCAGCAUCCUUCAGGCUGCCACGCGAAGCGACGGUUGGUGGCCUGCCUGUUUUGCUGAGGAAAAGCUUAGGCGCUGCGGGGUGGGACUUGGAGGCGUAAACACGAUCUCAGCUCAUUUUAUGUUGUUUUGGAUUCCUAACGAAUUUCCAGUGAAAGAGAAAUGGAGAGACAAGACAUUUUUAGAUCAUGUCAAAUCUUGUACAUUAAAAUAAGAUCUCCCACAGAGGCUCCCCAUCAGCCAGACCCAAGAGAGAGUCAGAGAGAAGAGUUGUUAGUCAGCCUCCAGGGUCAACAGCAGGUAACCAGAAAUUAAAUAAGGACAUAUAACAUGCUCAGGAGUGCUAUGAAGAAACACCACAGUCAUGUGGACCUUUGUUUUUGUUUGCCUUCCUGUGUGUUGGAACUGCACUUCAACGUUCUAGAUAAAACCAGAGCCAUGAACUUGAACUGCGGUUUGCUUUUAAAGAUGUGUGUAUCAGUUAGGAAUGCUUUGGCUGGCAGUGAAAGGCAACUGACUAACAGCAGUUUCACAGAGACUAUUUUUCAUACAUUAAGAAAAGAUCUGGAUGGGCAAUUGCUGGUGUUGGCUCAACGCCUCAGUUUCUGGGCUGGCAUCUUCCAGACGCUUCUGACCUUUUCCUUCCAGUCACCAGUGAUUAAAACAGCUCCAGAAGAAAGAAUCUGCCGUGGAUUUUGUCAUUGUUGUUGCUGAGUAUCUGAGCUCAUUCUGAUUUCCAAGAAGUGAAACCAUGUAACAUUUGAAUCACUUCACCUGUGACCAGAUUUAGAAACAACGGCCACCAUAUACAUCUCCCAGCUUUGUUGUUUUUUGUGGUCUUGGGUUUCAGUCCUAGUUGCUGUAGAUUAAACUUGAUCAAAGUUUACAUGUACUAUGAGCCAAAGUUCAAUGACUUCUACUUCUGUGGCUGUCUGGAGGGUAUCACUUUGCUACAAAACACAAGAUGAUUAGUUCUGAAAUGUCAUGUCUUCUUGAAGCCCAGUUAGCGGGCUGCCUGAGAUCAUUUGUAGACUACCUCUCCAAGCUGACUGUCAGCAUGUUAAUUUUGCUCAAAUAAAGAGCACGUUUGCUCUC